CCAAUACCCACUACAUUCCCUCCACUUUAUAUUUGUGCCUAAUCCAGAUGAAACAAUUAAAAAGAAUAAACAAUUAAAAAGAAUUGAAGUGAGUAUCAUUUUGAUUUAGGGUUGCCAAGGAAUUGGAAUUACGAAUUAGCUAGGGUUAAUGAUUUGAAUUGUUUUGAUUGCAGGCCUUCAGUUCAAUACAUUUCUUGGUGUAAUAGUCUCUCUAGAGAUCCCUAUUUUUGCUUAAUUCCUGUUUAAUUGACGCAAAUUCAGGGUUUUCAUUGAUAUUUUUUUUUAGUUUUGAUUUUAUGACGAUUUAUAGAAUUAGGCUUGCUUGUUUGUGGGUGUUAUUAGUUUUGAUUUACAUUUAGUUUAGUACUUCAAUGUACGGAAAUUCUUGUCUGCAAAUGUCAAUUGGAUAAAUUUGUACAAGUUUAUCAAUAAAAUCUGUAUUUUAAUGUUUAAUGUUCUAUUGUUCUGAUUCAAAUUCAGAGCCCUAAUGUUUGGAUUCUUCAGAGCCGUAAUGUUUGGAUUGAAGACAAGGGUCAAGAACUUUGAAUGGCGCAGAUAGAGCCGUAAUGUUUCUACUGCUCUCAAAUUAAAAUUCACCAACCAUGCCAUUUAAAGCUUCUGCAAAGCAAGUUGAAUACAACGGUCAAGAACUUUGAAUUGCAUAGAUAGGUUAUGGAUAAUCACAAUAAAGUGAUUGUAAUUUCUUUCAAGCAUCUUCUAAAGGAUUUGGUUAGAGUCUUGGAUAUGGAGGAUCCUUUUUAUGGUACUUUAGGAAAAUUUUCUAUAGUUGCUUGCAUAGUACUUUUAAGCAGGGAGGAAUAGUAAAAGGUAUUUUACAGUUGGUGAGAUAUGGCCAACCUUGCUUGAAUCUGAAGAAUCAGCAGCUGAGAAUGUUAUACAAUCUCUUGUACUAGAUUUCUCCUUAAUCAUAGAUAACAUUAGCAAAAGUAAACAAGAGCGCUGUGAAACUAUUUUUGAAGGCUAAGGGGAUUUGUAGUGCAUUUAGGAUUAAUGAAGUUAUGGAGAGCAAAAUUGGGUUUUGCUAAGUUUGUUUCAUGGAUUGGUGUGCCCCGUCUUCGAGAGUCUAACGAAUUAGAGUUGAUCGUAGGUGAAGAUUGUUUCACUGCUAACACUGUUAUACAAUCAUUGGCUAAAAAGGUAAUUGAGUUUUGAGAACCUAUCUACCAUUUUGAGGUUAGAGAUGUGAAUUACAAUACUAUGAAGAAAUCUAGGUCUUUCUCUUUAUUACAAAGGAAGCUUUAUUGAAGGGGAGGUUCAACAAGGGGAGCAAACAACUGACCAAUGUGUCACUCCUACUUCAACAACCUCACACAUCCUCUUUCCAAGUGUAUUACCUACACCUCCAAAGAAAUGCAACGUCACCACAAAAUGGUCAAUUUGUGCAACUGUCUUUGGAUCUACCUGAGGUGUUUAAACAUACAUAAUGAAUUAGAUCUGUUUUGGUGUUUGCCUAUGUUAUUAAGGAAUGUAUGGAGGUGAUCAUCUUUUGUAAACAAUUUUAGUAGUUCACAUUCAAUAUAAUGUACUCCUCUUUUUUAUGGCUAAAUUCCAUGCUUUUGUAAUGGAUCUUCCUUAUUAAUCUAAGAAUGGUUCCUACUUUUAUGAACAACUUUUUUACUUUGUAAGGUUAAAUGUAGCUCCUAAAGAUUUGAUUCUUUACCUUUCUUUUUGUCACGUGUUAGUCUAAUGUAAUAGUUUAAGUAUAUGAUUCAAUAGUUAUUACAUAACCGUUGCUAUGAUCGUCGCGCUGCUAAUGUGUGUUGUGCUACUGGUUGGUUUGGUUGAAUGUAUUGAAAUGUGCAGUUUAUGCCUUGGUAUUACUACUAUUUAUGCACUUUGUACCUUGAUACGUAAUAUGGAUGUAGUUUGUAACGUUAAAUGUACCUUGCAACAAUCGUCACCUUAUACUGGCUGCCCUUCGAUGCUGCUUGAUUGGCUGCAUUUUUGUUAUUAUGUUCAGUUUUAGCUAUCUUUUUUCAUUUAAUAUUUUAUUGUUUUGAAUUCAUUUAUUUGAAUGUGAUGAUUCAUUGUUAAAAUUAAUUAGUCAAUUAACUUAAGCAUCUAAAAAAAAAGAGUAGUAGUGUUUACGUGUAUGAUUCGAUAUCUAAGUUAAGUAAUUAAGCUGCAUAGAUGAUUUUAUUCAUUAUCAUUAAAUCUUAAACUAAAGUUAGUUACAGGACAAAAAACCUUUAGCUUAGUUUGAAGGUAUGGUUGAUAUAAUAGCAUAGGCGAAUGAUUUAAUAGUUCGAAUGCAUAAAUAUUCAAUUUUUCAAGUGCAUGAUUAGAUAGCUCACAAUUGUGUCAUAUCUCG